CAGGUUCCCGAAGCGCCCGCGCUGUGCCCGCUGGAGCCCGGGGGUCUCUCCAGCUCACCUGGAGGAAUCUGAGGGGCAGAGGCCAGCUUACGACACGACACUCGCUGAGGGGCCUCACACCCGGUCUGGUCCGAGCCCGCAGCCCAGCUCCUUCUCUCCUUCCACUUCGCCUCACGUUUCCCCCCUACCGGAAAUCUGAUGGGCUUAUGACAUCAUGGCUGGCUGCUGAGCAAUGAGUGGAUGCCACAAAGAAAUCCGACAUAUCAGAUGGAUUCUGAAAUCAGUUUCCCUCUGGCUGUAGUAACGGGAGUGAAGUCAGGAGAAUGUGAGCUUUGUUUAAAAAACAAAAAAAUAAAACUAAGCCUUGUCCUGUA